CAAAAUUUAAUCAAUUUGACUCUUCAAUAGUCAAAACAAGACAAGAUGGAGGGAUAUUUUUAUAAAUAUGAAAACAGUAUAUUAAUUAAAUAAUCUAUCAUAGUAAUUAAUUAUUAAGUGACCGAUUACUAGAAUCAUGUUUUCAUCUGAUUAUUGUUGGAUGAAAUAAGUGUGCAACGUGAGCCAUGUGAAUGAUUUCACUAUCCACCUACUCUUCUUGGAUUCCAAUGAUCGCCAAGUAGGAAGUAGGCCUACACAAUCUUGGUCUGAAACAAGACAAUUCACAAGACCGUCCCUUAUUUGCCUGCUAGCCCAGGAAAAUAGACUCUACUACUGAUGAUUAUGAGUGCACAAAUUGACCAACAAACAAAAUUACAGGAACCCCUGAUCUUGAUAUAUUCAAGCCAUUUUAGUUUAAACCAAUUCAAAGGGUCUUUUUUUUUUUUUUUUUUGCUAUUUUGAUUCAAAGGGUCUUCUCUGUUAUGCAAAUUCUUGCUGUUAAUUCACUGCGUCAAUCACAAUGGAGACACAGUGACUCCAAUGCUUUGCAAUGAUAGUGCACAAUUUAAGGAACAAGCUGAGCAAACACACAAAAUGAGCUCCAGGCUGCUAUGACAAGGGGAAUUUUAUUGCCUAAUGCUUUACUCGCAUCAGGUAUUCUCACCCUUCUGUUUUUUUAAAUUGUUGAUUGUAUUUUUCACAAGUACAGCAAACACAUGAGUUGUUUUAAUUCUGCUACACUUUGUUCUUUCUUGAUAUCCAAUUAUGCAUAAUUUUGGCUACCAAUGCGUGCAUUAGACAUUCUUCCUGUUUCAUGCUCAUUCAGCAUCCAUGGUUAGGCUAUAAUAGGAUAUUUCUUUUAUGUUGAUUAUAAUCCUCAUUUCCACCAUACAUGCCACACCUCACACGUAUUUUAUCCGUAUGAAAGCUGGGGAUUGUAUUGUACGCAGACAAAGGAGAAUAGUGAGACGUACAUUGGUAAUAGAAUUCCGUUAUGAAGAUGCAGGAAGGGUAUGGAAGAAAAGUGAAGAUACUGGACUAUAAGGAUGAGGAAUUUGACGAAGAUGAGUUAUUCGAGAGAACAAUAG
rnacentral:lncRNA from 1 species